rnacentral:rRNA from 1 species
AGCGAACGCUGGCGGCGUGCUUAACACAUGCAAGUCGAGCGAAGGUGUUUCAAGGGUAACCUUGAGAUACACUUAGCGGCGGACGGGUGAGUAAUACGUGGAUAACUUACCUCUAGGCCUGGGAUAACCCCGGGAAACUGGGGCUAAUACCUGAUAAGACCACAUUGUCUACGGACAAAGGGGUAAAAGGUGGCUGUGCAAACAGCUAUCGCCAAAAGAUAGGUUCACGUCCCAUCAGGCAGUGGUGAGGUAAUGGCUCACCAAACCAAAGACGGGUAGCCGGCCUUGGCGGGUGAACGGCCACACGGGGACUGAGACACGGCCCCGACUCCUACGGGAGGCAGCAGUGGGGAAUAUUGGGCAAUGGGCGCAAGCCUGACCCAGCGACGUCGC